rnacentral:rRNA from 1 species
UACGUAGGGUGCAAGCGUUGUCCGGAAUUAUUGGGCGUAAAGAGCUCGUAGGCGGUCUGUCGCGUCUGCUGUGAAAACUCAGGGCUUAACCCUGAGCUUGCAGUGGGUACGGGCAGACUAGAGUGCGGUAGGGGAGACUGGAAUUCCUGGUGUAGCGGUGAAAUGCGCAGAUAUCAGGAGGAACACCGGUGGCGAAAGGCGGGUCU